rnacentral:tRNA from 15 species
CGAUGUACGAUGAGCCCUGUUAAGCAUCCAUGGCUGAAUGGUUAAAGCGCCCAACUCAUAAUUGGCAAAUUCGU